rnacentral:rRNA from 1 species
AAAGAAACUAACAAGGAUUCCCUAGUAACGGCGAGUGAAGCGGGAAAAGCUCAAAUUUGUAAUCUGGCGCCUUGGGCGUCCGAGUUGUAAUCUCGAGAAGUAUUUUCCGCGCUGGACCGCACAUAAGUCUGUUGGAAUACAGCGUCAUAGUGGUGAGAACCCCGUAUAGGGUGCGGAUGCCCAGUGCUUUGUGAUAUACUUUCGAAGAGUCGAGUUGUUUGGGAAUGCAGCUCAAAUUGGGUGGUAAAUUCCAUCUAAAGCUAAAUAUUGGCGAGAGAMCGAUAGCGAACAAGUACCGUGAGGGAAAGAUGAAAAGCACUUUGGAAAGAGAGUUAACAGUACGUGAAAUUGUUGGAAGGGAAACGCUUGAAGUCAGACUUGCAUUUUGGAGUUCAGCCGCAAGGUGUAUUCUUCAAUUCGCAGGCCAGCAUCAGUUUUUGGGGGUGGAAAAGCGCGGUUGGAAGGUAGCAGUCUUGGCUGUGUUAUAGCUUUCCGCUGGAUUCACUUUUGGGGACUGAGGAACGCAGUACGCUUUUUGCAAGAUUCUAGAGUCUUUCGUACUUAGGAUGCUGGUGGAAUGGCUUUAAACGACCCGUCUUGAAACACGGACCAAGGAGUCUAACAUGCUUGCGAGUGUUUGGGUGUUAAACCCGGACGCGUAAUGAAAGUGAAUGGAGGUGGGAUCCGCAAGGUGCACCAUCGACCGAUCUGGAUUUUCUAAGAUGGAUUUGAGUAAGAGCAAUUAUGUUGGGACCCGAAAGAUGGUGAACUAUGCCUGAAUAGGGUGAAGCCAGAGGAAACUCUGGUGGAGGCUCGUAGCGGUUCUGACGUGCAAAUCGAUCGUCAAAUUUGGGUAUAGGGGCGAAAGACUAAUCGAACCAUCUAAUGUUGCUUGGUGGUUAAUAGGGACUUCAAAGUAGAGCCCUAGUGGGAGUGGUAACUUGCGACACUUUCAAAUUGCGGGGACGCCCUUAGAGCUCUGAUUACGGCGGCUCAUCGAAAGAUAAAGUGCAGCAGCAGGUUAAUGGCCUCGCGGAUCGUAAAAACAUCAGAGAUUGGGUAAUCCGCAGCCAAGUCCUAAAGGGUACCUUUCAGCUACCCCAUGGAUGCAGUUCAUCGACUAAAUGGAAGUGGGUGCCCUUUCUUUACCGGAAGGGUGCUUGAGAUAUAGUCAGCCCCUCGUGAGAGCGAGCUAAUGGGACUAAGAGUCGAUUCGUUUUUACCACUUAUAAACGACGAUUCCCGAGCCUAUUGGGGUCUACUAAGAGGAAUAGUAAAACUCUAAGACUGGAUUACGUGCUAGUAGCUGGUUCCUGCCGAAGUUUCCCUCAGGAUAGCAGAAACUCACAUCAGUUCUAUGAGGUAAAGCGAAUGAUUAGAGGCCUUGGGGUUGAAACAACCUUAACCUAUUCUCAAACUUUAAAUAUGUAGGAAGUCCUUGCUACUAAUGAGCA